rnacentral:rRNA from 1 species
AGAGUUUGAUCCUGGCUCAGAUUGAACGCUGGCGGCAGGCCUAACACAUGCAAGUCGAGCGGAAACGAGUUAUCUGAACCUUCGGGGAACGAUAACGGCGUCGAGCGGCGGACGGGUGAGUAAUGCCUAGGAAAUUGCCCUGAUGUGGGGGAUAACCAUUGGAAACGAUGGCUAAUACCGCAUGAUGCCUACGGGCCAAAGAGGGGGACCUUCGGGCCUCUCGCGUCAGGAUAUGCCUAGGUGGGAUUAGCUAGUUGGUGAGGUAAGGGCUCACCAAGGCGACGAUCCCUAGCUGGUCUGAGAGGAUGAUCAGCCACACUGGAACUGAGACACGGUCCAGACUCCUACGGGAGGCAGCAGUGGGGAAUAUUGCACAAUGGGCGCAAGCCUGAUGCAGCCAUGCCGCGUGUGUGAAGAAGGCCUUCGGGUUGUAAAGCACUUUCAGUCGUGAGGAAGGUAGUGUAGUUAAUAGCUGCAUUAUUUGACGUUAGCGACAGAAGAAGCACCGGCUAACUCCGUGCCAGCAGCCGCGGUAAUACGGAGGGUGCGAGCGUUAAUCGGAAUUACUGGGCGUAAAGCGCAUGCAGGUGGUUUGUUAAGUCAGAUGUGAAAGCCCGGGGCUCAACCUCGGAAUUGCAUUUGAAACUGGCAGACUAGAGUACUGUAGAGGGGGGUAGAAUUUCAGGUGUAGCGGUGAAAUGCGUAGAGAUCUGAAGGAAUACCGGUGGCGAACGCGGCCCCCUGGACAGAUACUGACACUCAGAUGCGAAAGCGUGGGGA